UACGAAGGUCCCAAGCGUUAUCCGGAUUUAUUGGGUUUAAAGGGUGCGUAGGCGGCUUAUUAAGUCAGUGGUGAAAGCCCCAAGCUUAACUUGGGAACUGCCAUUGAUACUGAUGAGCUUGAGUAGAUUUGAGGCAGGCGGAAUGUGUCGUGUAGCGGUGAAAUGCUUAGAUAUGACACAGAACACCAAUUGCGUAGGCAGCUCGCUAAACUCUUACUGACGCUGAGGCACGAAAGCAUGGGGAUCAAACAGG
rnacentral:rRNA from 1 species